AUCAAAUUCUCCCCAAAUUGAAUUCAAUUUUGGUUAAAAUUUCUUCAAAAUUGAAAGGUUUGGAUAAUUGGUCAAAAAUUGAAAUGUGGGGAUAAAAUUGCAAAUUCGCACAAUCAUUUUUAAUUUUUUGGUUUAAAAGGCCUUAAAAAUAUUGUCAUUUUGUUCAAUUGAUACCUCAUUUCUGCCUAGAUGUGUUUAUGUACAAAAUCUCAAGAUAUCAUUGUUAGGGUUAGGGAACCCUAACUGAGAAUUAUAACAGAAGUAGGGAAAGAAUUAGAAGAGAGAGAGAGAGA
rnacentral:misc_RNA from 1 species